GAGACGCGGCGUGGCGCUGCGAGGUGCGGCCCGCGAAGGACGACUCGUCCAGGCUGCUGCUGUGCGUGCUGGCGGCCAGCGGGCAGCUGCAGCAAGAGGCGCAGGCCGAGCAGGACGCCACGUCCCAAGCGCCAUGUUGGGUGGAGAGAAGCAACGAGAUCCGUACUCUAGAUGAGGAUCGGUGGCAUAAGGGGUUCCGGGUGAAGACCGCCCAAGGGCCUGGUGCCAUCUCGGAGGUCGUCUCUGACAGGUACUCCACCAAGGUGAAGGUGAAGAUUGACUGCACUGCGCAGCUUGUAGAAAGCUAUUUCUACCAACUGAGGCCAGUGCUAGAAGCGUGGGGCCUGAUCUCUGAGGUGACUCCAUCAGCUCUUGAUGCGCUCAACACAAGCAGCAGCAAACAAAUCAAGGGCAAGGCGGACUUGUUGGCGAGUGAAAGUCUGCAGAAGGUGCUGACCCUCACCGGCCUGGACUGCUCCACGUCGGCUCCGUUCUGCCAGCAAGUGCUGCAGCGGGUGGCCCCCCCGCCUGGAGCGCCUGCAGCUCGUGCCCCCC